AGUGGCGAACGGGUGAGUAUCACGUGAGUAACCUUCCCUUGACUCUGGGAUAAGCCCGGGAAACUGGGUCUAAUACCGGAUACGACCAGUCCUCGCAUGGGGUGCUGGUGGAAAGAUUUAUCGGUCUUGGAUGGACUCGCGGCCUAUCAGCUUGUUGGUGAGGUAAUAGCUCACCAAGGCGAUGACGGGUAGCCGGCCUGAGAGGGUGACCGGCCACACUGGGACUGAGACACGGCCCAGACUCCUACGGGAGGCAGCAGUGGGGAAUAUUGCACAAUGGGCGAAAGCCUGAUGCAGCGACGCCGCGUGCGGGAUGACGGCCUUCGGGUUGUAAACCGCUUUCAGCAGGGAAGAAGCGAAAGUGACGGUACCUGCAGAAGAAGCGCCGGCUAACUACGUGCCAGCAGCCGCGGUAAUACGUAGGGCGCGAGCGUUAUCCGGAAUUAUUGGGCGUAAAGAGCUCGUAGGCGGUUUGUCACGUCUGCUGUGAAAGCCCGGGGCUCAACCCCGGGUGUGCAGUGGGUACGGGCAGACUAGAGUGCAGUAGGGGAGACUGGAAUUCCUGGUGUAGCGGUGAAAUGCGCAGAUAUCAGGAGGAACACCGAUGGCGAAGGCAGGUCUCUGGGCUGUUACUGACGCUGAGGAGCGAAAGCAUGGGG
rnacentral:rRNA from 1 species